rnacentral:misc_RNA from 1 species
AACUGAUACUACCUGCGGGAACCUGCGGAAGGAUCAUUAAUGAGAAACUGCCCCUCGCGGGUAGAUCUCCCACCCUUUGUAAACUUACCUUUGUUGCUUUGGCAGGCCCGUCUCCGGACCGCCGGCUUCGGCUGGCCAGUGCCUGCCAGAGGAUUCUAAAACUCUGUCUGUCAGUGUUGUCUGAGUCUAUAUACAAUCGUUAAAACUUUCAACAACGGAUCUCUAGAUCGGAAGAGCACA